UACAGGAGGUCUCAAGCGUUGUUCGGAUUCAUUGGGCGUAAAGGGUGCGUAGGCGGCGCGGUAAGUCGGGUGUGAAAUCUCGGGGCUUAACUCCGAAACUGCAUUUCGAUACUGCCGUGCUUGAGGACUGGAGAGGAGACUGGAAUUUACGGUGUAGCGGUGAAAUGCGUAGAUAUCGAUAAGGAAGACCAGUGGCGAAGGCGGGUCUCCUGGACAGUUCCUGACGCUGAGGCACGAAGGGCCAGGGGAGCAAACGGG
rnacentral:rRNA from 1 species